AGACGGUGCUGGCGCACAGUCUAUCGGGAAUCUCUCCGCUUACGGAGAGGCGUCCGGUGGAACUGUGUGGCUUGGGACCGGAAGACCAGAGGGGUACGUCUGGGGUAGGAGUGAAAUCCCGUAAUCCUGGACGGACCACCGGUGGCGAAAGCGCCUCUGGAAGACGGAUCCGACGGUGAGGGACGAAAGCUCGGGUCACGAACCGGAUUAGAUACCCGGGUAGUCCGAGCUGUAAACGAUGUCUGCUAGGUGUGACACAGGCUACGAGCCUGUGUUGUGCCGUAGGGAAGCCGUGAAGCAGACCGCCUGGGAAGUACGUCCGCAAGGAUGAAACUUAAAGGAAUUGGCGGGGGAGCACUACAACCGGAGGAGCCUGCGGUUUAAUUGGACUCAACGCCGGACAUCUCACCAGCAUCGACAAUGUGCAGUGACGGUCAGUAUGAUGAGCUUACCUGAGCCAUUGAGAGGAGGUGCAUGGCCGCCGUCAGCUCGUACCGUGAGGCGUCCUGUUAAGUCAGGCAACGAGCGAGACCCGCACCCUUAAUUGCCAGCAGCACCCUUGUGGUGGCUGGGUACAUUAAGAGGACUGCCAGUGCCAAACUGGAGGAAGGAACGGGCAACGGUAGGUCAGUAUGCCCCGAAUGUGCUGGGGCGA
rnacentral:rRNA from 1 species